CUGAAACAUUAACGAGUCUCAAUUCUUACAUCAAACAUAAAAUCUAGAAAAACAGACAGCACCAACAUCGACUAAAAUCACAUCCCAUGAACCAAAAAUCCAUGCAAAUAUAAAGUCAAAUACUACUAUAAAAGCAGAAAUCGAGAAACAGAAACCCAAGUACAGAAACAGAAAGUCACUGCAGAGAUAUCUAUGUCAAGUGUAUAAAGAGGGGGGAAAGCAGAGCAAAAUCCUGAAAAGAUUCCUUUUUUUUUUUUUUCCUUCAUAAAUACUAUACAAUCAGUUCAAAAUAUAAACACCUGUCUAUGAGAGUCCAUUACUUGUCAAUCUCUCUCUUUCUCGUGACCAUAAUUCAAGAUUUCCCCUUUUUUUUUUAUCCCCAAACUCUCCUCCUCUUUUCUUCACAAUUAACCUACUUGCCACUCUCACACCCAACAAUAAAUCUUCUCUUAAAAAACCCUUUUCAGUCUUACUCCCUUCGCUCUCUCUAAUAAAAAUCCCAACUUUCUGUCACUUUCCCGAGAAACAUCAGGACUUUCCGGGAAAAUUUCCAAACAUUUCUUUUUUAAUGGAGGCGCUACCGGACCACCUCCGGUGCAAGAGAACAGACGGCCGGCAAUGGCGGUGCAACAGGCGGGUGAUGGAGGAUAAGAAGCUCUGUGAAAUUCACCACCUUCAAGGCCGCCAUAGGCAGUAUAGAAGGAAAGUUCCAGAGACUUUGAAAUUGCAGAGAAAGAAGAGCAAGAAAUCAGCAGCAUCAAGUUCUAAUGCUGAAACCCUAAUUAGGGUUUCUUCAAAAGAGGGGAAAUUAGGGAAAUUUAAGAAGAAAGGAAAGAAGUUGAAGAGAGGGGAUUUACAGUUGGAUUUGAUUAGAAUGGUUUUACAGAAAGAAAUGGAGAAGAGGAAGAGUAAGAAAAGGAAAAGUUUUUCAGAGAAAGUAAGUGUUGAUAAUGGUGAUGAUAAUGAUAAUGUGAAUGACUGUAGUGAGAGUGAAGAAGGAGAAGGAGAAGAGUUAAUGAGAAAUUUGCCAAAUGGGUUCAUGGCAAUAUCGCCUGCUAAGAGUUUUGGGAAUGGCAAUGCGGGUUGUUCUAGUUCACAUUGUGAUAGUAAGAUUGGAGGAGAUGUUGUUAACGGGGCUAGUACUGCUAGAAGAUGUUUUAGGUCUAAAAAUGUUGAGCCAAUGCCAAUUGGGAAAUUGCAGGUUUUGCCGUAUAAGAGGGAUGGAGUGAGAUUGAGGAAGGGGAAGAGGAAGAAGUGCCACUGGUGUAGGAGUAGUGGAUCGAGGACAUUGAUUAGGUGUUCGAGUUGUCGGAAAGAGUAUUACUGCUUGGAUUGCAUCAAAGAGCAGUAUUUGGAAACACAAGAAGAAGUUAGGAUGGAAUGUCCUAUGUGUCGUGGAACUUGCAGCUGUAAGGUCUGCUCAGCGAUUCAAUGUAGGGACAUUGCAUGUAAGGACUUGUCCAAGGAGAAAAGUGAAGUAGACAACGUUUUACAUUUUCAUUAUUUGAUUUGCAUGCUUCUUCCCAUACUGAAACAAAUAAAUCAGGAUCAGAGCAUUGAGCUAGAAAUAGAGGCAAAAAUAAAAGGCCAGAAGCCUUCUGAAGUUCAAAUCCAGCAGGCUGAAGUCAGCUGCAAUAAGCAAUGUUGCUGCAAUAACUGCAAGACUUCCAUAGUGGAUUUCCAUAGGAGCUGUCCUGAGUGUUCCUAUAACCUUUGCUUAAGUUGUUGUCGGGAUAUUUUUCAUGGGGGCGUACAUGGACGUGUUAAAACUCUUUUAUGCAAAUGUCCAAAUGGAAGGAAAGCUUGUAUACCUGGCAAACGACUUUCAGAAAUGAAAUCACUUUAUGCCACGAAGCGGAGUUACAGCAGCAAAUAUCAUGGCUCAACAUUCUCACCUGGUCGGAGUGCUGUGGAUCGUAAUGGUGGUAUACCUUGUCCCUCUAGAAAGUUUGGAGGUUGUGGUGAUAGCCUACUUGAUUUGAGGUGCAUUUUCCCCUUAUGUUGGACAAAAGAUCUGGAAGUAAGUGCAGAAGAAUUAGUUGGCUGCUAUGAGUUACCAGAAACCUUGGAUGUUCGAUCGUGUUGCUCAUUAUGUGUUGGGAUGGAUUGUGAAUCUAACGGGAUUGAACAACUGCAAGAAGCAGCUGCAAGAGAAGAUUCUGGUGAUAACCUUUUAUAUUAUCCAACCAUCAUGGAUGUUCGCAGUGAUAACCUAGAACACUUUCAGAAGCACUGGGGCAGAGGUCAACCUGUGAUUGUUCGUAAUGUGCUUCAGAGUACAUCUGAUUUGAGUUGGGAUCCAAUAGUCAUGUUCUGCAAUUAUCUUAAGAAUAAUGCUGCCAGGUCUCAAAAUGGGCAAGCUACAGAUUGCUCGGACUGGUUUGAGGUAGAAAUUGGUAUAAGACAGAUGUUUAUGGGGUCUUUUAAGGGCCUGACGAAUGCCAACAUAUGGCAUGAGAAGCUGAAAUUGAAGGGUUUGCUUUCUUCUUAUUUAUUCCGAGAACAUUUUCCAGUUCAUUAUAGUCACGUCCUUCAGGCUCUACCACUUCCAGAAUACAUGGACCCCAUUUCAGGUGUUCUAAACAUUGCUGCAGAUUUGGGCCAGGAAACCUCAAAGUCUGAUCUGGGUCCUUGUCUUUAUAUCUCAUAUGGAAGUGGUGAGAAUCUUUCACAGGCUGAUUCUGUGACAAAACUGUGUUAUAAUUCAUAUGAUGUGGUUAAUAUUUUGGCACAUGCUACUGAUGUCCCUGUAUCUACAAAACAGCUUAAUUACAUAAGGAAGUUAAUGACAAAGCACAAGGACCAGAAUAAAGAGAGCGGAGAAGCACCUUUAGAUGAGGAAAACAUUGAAGUGGAAUUGCAUGAUAUGUUCAGAGAAGAUAUGCAAGUAAACAAGAAAGUUGCUAGAGUAUCCUGGUUCUCUGCUGCAAGACAUGAAACUCAUGCUUCAAAUCUGAAAGAUAGAGACGUGUUCCAUGAUGGGGAUUCUGGUUCUGACUCUGAUUCUGAUUCUGAUUCUCACACUGAUACUGAUACUGAAGUCUCAAAAUUUUUCUUUGGACCUGUUAAAGGUUCAAGGUCAUCAGAUAAUCUUAAGUUUCAUGGGAAUCACUCGGAGACUUCCAAUCAUUUCAUAUCUGAGUCUUGUGGUGCCCAUUGGGAUAUCUUUCGUAAACAGGAUGUUCCUAAGCUUGUAGAAUACCUUAGAAGGCACUCUAAUGAGUUCACUCACACAUACUUCCAAAAGCAUAUGGUUCAUCCAAUACUUGAUCAGAAUUUCUUUCUUGAUGCAUAUCAUAAAAUGAGACUGAAGGAGGAGUUUAAAAUUGAACCCUGGAGUUUUGAUCAACAUAUUGGAGAAGCAGUGAUUGUUCCUGCUGGAUGUCCAUACCAAAUUAGAAAUCUUAAGUCAUGUGUCAGCGUGGUUCUGGACUUCCUCUCACCAGAAAAUGUUACUGAAUGUAUUCAGUUGAUGGAUGAAUUACGACAACUUCCAGAGAACCAUAAGGCCAAAGUUGACAGAUUAGAGGUGAAGAAAAUGGCAUUGCACAGUAUCAGUAGAGCAGUCAGAAAAAUUCAUGAGCUUACACGGGCAGAGACCAGCAUGGACCUCAAUGGCUAACUGCAAGGACUGAACGGAAAGAUAUGCUGUUACAAAAUGAAUCGUACAGGAUCUCUCAUUCUUGGUGAAAAACACCAACUUUUUGUUAUCAAAAAUUUGCAUUGGUUUCCUCAUUUACUGCAACAACUUGUACAUGGGUUCAUUAAGUCAUCUGAUGCUAGACAAAUUGCAUGAAAAAAAGCUCUUGAUAUUCUUGCAAAAAUUGUCGUUGAUUGGAGUAACAAUGCUUAGUUUUGAAAGGCCUCUCAUCCUUGAUGUUCCUUGCCUCUAUAAAGAAUGGUUUGGGGUUUCAGCAACGGAUUGUUUGAGAUUCAAUCACGAAUCUAAGAGACCCGCUACGUCCAAGAACAGAAAGUGGUGGCAGGCUGCAUCCUCAUAACCUCCCCCCUUUCAAAGAGAAGAGUCCAGUUUUCCUAAAGAGAGUUAAGUUCAAAAAAGAGUUGUAAAGCAGAAUAGCAAACCCACUGUGGCAAGGGAACCAGCGAAAUGCAUGAAUUCUUCAAAAUACUCUCGCAUGCUAAAUUAAAAUUAAAACAAAAACUAAAAGAACACAUUGUGAAUUUGAAUAAGACACAUUGUGAAUUGGAAUAAUGA